rnacentral:rRNA from 2 species
GUACCUUUUGUAUAAUGGGUCAGCGACUUAUAUUCUGUAGCAAGGUUAACCGUAUAGGGGAGCCGAAGGGAAACCGAGUCUUAACUGGGCGUUAAGUUGCAGGGUAUAGACCCGAAACCCGGUGAUCUAGCCAUGGGCAGGUUGAAGGUUGGGUAACACUAACUGGAGGACCGAACCGACUAAUGUUGAAAAAUUAGCGGAUGACUUGUGGCUGGGGGUGAAAGGCCAAUCAAACCGGGAGAUAGCUGGUUCUCCCCGAAAGCUAUUUAGGUAGCGCCUCGUGAACUCAUCUUCGGGGGUAGAGCACUGUUUCGGCUAGGGGGUCAUCCCGACUUACCAACCCGAUGCAAACUGCGAAUACCGAAGAAUGUUAUCACGGGAGACACACGGCGGGUGCUAACGUCCGUCGUGAAGAGGGAAACAACCCAGACCGCCAGCUAAGGUCCCAAAGUCACAGUUAAGUGGGAAACGAUGUGGGAAGGCUCAGACAGCCAGGAUGUUGGCUUAGAAGCAGCCAUCAUUUAAAGAAAGCGUAAUAGCUCACUGGUCGAGUCGGCCUGCGCGGAAGAUGUAACGGGGCUAAACUGUGCACCGAAGCUGCGGCAGCGACGCUUAUGCGUUGUUGGGUAGGGGAGCGUUCUGUAAGCCUGCGAAGGUGUCCUGUGAGGGAUGCUGGAGGUAUCAGAAGUGCGAAUGCUGACAUAAGUAACGAUAA